rnacentral:rRNA from 1 species
GUGAGGAAUAUUGGGCAAUGGAGGCAACUCUGACCCAGCCAUGCCGCGUGCAGGAAGACGGCCCUACGGGUUGUAAACUGCUUUUGUACGGGAAUAAACCCAUGUUCGUGAACAUGGCUGAAGGUACCGUACGAAUAAGGAUCGGCUAACUCCGUGCCAGCAGCCGCGGUAAUACGGAGGAUCCAAGCGUUAUCCGGAUUCAUUGGGUUUAAAGGGUCCGUAGGCGGUAGAUUAAGUCAGUGGUGAAAGGCUAUGGCUCAACCAUAGACGUGCCAUUGAUACUGGUUUACUUGAGUUUAGUUGAAGUGGGCGGAAUACGUCAUGUAGCGGUGAAAUGCAUAGAUAUGACGUAGAACACCGAUUGCGAAGGCAGCUCACUAAGUUAUAACUGACGCUGAGGGACGAAAGCGUGGGGAGCGAACAGGAUUAGAUACCCUAGUAGUCC